GAGGAUGAAGGAGAAAAGGGGGACAAAAGCAACAUCGAUAAAGAAUGAUUGGAGGUAGAGGGAGCCAUCAUAGAGGAGAAAGGCAUAUGGGCAAGCUUAGAAGAGGAAGAGGAUGAGAAGGAGGAGAAGAAGUGGGUGAUAAGGAAGAGAAGGAGGGGGAAGGGGAGUCACUGGUGAGGAAUGAGUGGAGAUGGAGAGAUCCAUCAUGAAGGAAGAGAAGUGGAUGAUGAGGAAUGAAAAGAGGGAGGAG
rnacentral:lncRNA from 1 species